rnacentral:lncRNA from 1 species
AAAGAUUUUUUUUAUUUUUUCUUUUAGGUAAUGUAACAAAUCCCCCUUGGUUUUUCUUUAGGCCGUGGUUAUAUUCCAAGGGUUUAGCUUGAACCAGGCAUAGGCAGUUUUUUAUUUUUUUGUAGAUUAGGAUAGUGGGCUGUGAGCUAUGAAUUGAAAGAGAACCCUGAGCGUUGAUACACCUGAACACCAUAAAUCCUAGAGUGUAACGCUUAGCUCUCAUUGUUGAAUCUCAUUAGAGCGUUGAUACACUUGAACACCAUAAAUCCUAGAGUGUAAUGCUUAGAUCUCAUUGUUAAAUCUCACUAAAAGCGCCUUAAUUUGUAUGUUUCUCACUGACUUGAGUGCUUGAAAUGUCUAUAGCAAGUCUUGGUUAAUUUUGAUCCAAGCUAACCUACCCGUCCUUUAGCCCACAUUACAACCAUAACAAGUCCUGAUUGAUUUUGAGCCGAGCUAACCUACAUUAGUAGAGAUUUGCAUUAAAAGCAAGCCUAUGGUACUCGUUGCAUGCAUGUGACUUUAUUUGUGAGAGUGAGCGCUUCUAUUGAUGUAUGUGAGUGUUGGUUCGAUUGUGUGCAAAAAUUCAGUUGUGUGAUAUAAUUGUGAGGGCAUAUGAUUCGUGAUGAAAAAGAAAGUCUUAACUUCUGUGUAGAGUGCUUUGAGGAAGUGUAAACAUUACGUGGCUCGUGAGAGUUAGCUAUGAGGCUAGGAAUGUUCACGGCUAGGCGCAACGUAUGUUUAUUGUCCUAGGUGGAAUGUGCUAAAGGGAAUGGUUGAGUGGCGUGUUGUCUAGAGAGAAUAGUGUGAUUGCUUGAGGGCUAGCAAUGAUUAAGUGUGAGGUGUUGAUAAUAUGCGAAAUCUAGGUGAUUUAGCCAUUAUUUAUGCCUCCGCUUGAUUAUAUUCCGAUCGUAUACUAUGAUUAAUUGAUGAAAGAUGGGAUCUAAUAAUGAAUCAUACUCAUUGCAGGCUAAGGAGCCUAAUUUGUGCAAGAUAACAUUGAUUGGAAUCAUUCGGGAGCAAUUGAGACCCCUCGGGACUAAAUGGGAUCGAAGAGAACUCAAG